AUUGAACGCUGGCGGCAUGCCUUACACAUGCAAGUCGAACGGUAACAGGUCUUCGGAUGCUGACGAGUGGCGAACGGGUGAGUAAUACAUCGGAAAGUGCCUAGUAGUGGGGGAUAACUACUCGAAAGAGUGGCUAAUACCGCAUGAGAUCUACGGAUGAAAGCAGGGGAUCGCAAGACCUUGUGCUACUAGAGCGGCCGAUGGCAGAUUAGGUAGGUGGUGGGAUAAAAGCUUACCAAGCCGACGAUCUGUAGCUGGUCUGAGAGGACGAUCAGCCACACUGGGACUGAGACACGGCCCAGACUCCUACGGGAGGCAGCAGUGGGGAAUUUUGGACAAUGGGCGCAAGCCUGAUCCAGCCAUGCCGCGUGUCUGAAGAAGGCCUUCGGGUUGUAAAGGGCUUUUGUCCGGGAGCAAAUGCCUGGUGUUAAUAGCACUGGGAGCUGAGAGUACCGGAAGAAUAAGCACCGGCUAACUACGUGCCAGCAGCCGCAGUAACAC
rnacentral:rRNA from 1 species